GCUCCACGCCCGGACCCUGCCCUAAGGAAACUAUUCAGAGGAGCAAGAAUGCCGGUGUGCGCAGGUGCCAUUUUUACCGAGGUGGUGGUCGAGAACGCAGCGUCAGUCUUCAGCGUCUGAACAGCAUAAGGAAGCUGUGUCACGUGACAUGCUGAUCCCUAAGAAAUAACUGAACACUAGGCAAGACAGAGAAGACGUUCUUCCCAGAUGAAGGUGGCAGGGUUACAGCUGUGUACCACAUGACCUGUUUAGGCCAUGCUGGGGAGGAUCGAACUUCAAGCUAGCUGGUGCCAAGCAAGAAGCUGAAACUCUCACAAGGCUGCAUGAGCCUUUGUUGUUUCUGUUCAGCUGCCCUUUGACCUAGGCAGAUGGACAUCUCUGCAGGAAAGAUCAAGAGAGAAAGCCUGCUGCAGGAGGAGCUGCCCCCUCCCUGAUCCUGGGCCACGCAGAAGCCAUAAAGAUGGCAGGUGCUGACCUGAGGUUAAGGGAAUUCCAGAGGAAAAGUGUGAGUUCGCCUCAAUGGCGGUCCCUGCCUUCACUCCACACAGAUCAGGACUCUGUGCCUUGAGGAAUUCCAGCCAUUGGGUAUCCUCAGAAGGUGUUCUGGGUCCCAUGACCAGCAGUCACUGA